rnacentral:rRNA from 1 species
UACGGAGGGUGCAAGCGUUAAUCGGAAUUACUGGGCGUAAAGCGCACGCAGGCGGUCUGUCAAGUCGGAUGUGAAAUCCCCGGGCUCAACCUGGGAAUGGCAUUUGGGACUGCAAGGCUGGAGUACGGCAGAGGAGACUGGAAUUCCUGGUGUAGCAGUGAAAUGCGUAGAUAUCAGGAGGAAUACCGAUGGCGAAGGCAGGUCUCUGGGCUGAUACUGACGCUCAUGCACGAAAGCGUGGGGAGCAAACAGG